GGCUGGGACUGUAGUUGUUUUGACAUUAAUGGUGAUGAGGUAUAAGAUACAGGCAUCAAAGUGACAGUUAAGGAGGACUGUUUCCUAUUUCCUCAGUUUAAUCUUCUCAGGUGAGUUUGAAGGUGCCAAAUAACAUAGAUUCCAGGAUUUGGAAAGGCCACACAGGUGUACAGUGAAAUAAUGAAGGAUUUAAAAGUUGUGUUGGAGAGAAAUAGAGUGAGCACAGACAUAAGAUUUCAAGGAAUAAGGAGGAGUAAACCACAGUCAGUGCUACUGGCAACAAGAAAAGAUUGACUCAUGAUAUGAAAGUCCAAGCUGAAGGCGGAGAGGGAAGGCUCUAGAAAAAGCAAUGCAGAACGAAGAAGUCACAUCCGUCACUUUCAAGCCUAGGUGUAUGAGGUGUGGGGGAGGAAAGCACAGGCAUCCCUGAGAAGCCUGUUGGAGAAUCAGCAUCCUCAGGGGAGAUUCGAGUUUCAAUCGGAGCAAGAAGCAUCCCAGAGGCACUUUAACCAAACCCUGGAGAGAGAAGAAAUAAGGAGUUUUUGUCAUUUAUUUGGG
rnacentral:lncRNA from 10 species